rnacentral:rRNA from 1 species
AAAUUGAAGAGUUUGAUCAUGGCUCAGAUUGAACGCUGGCGGCAGGCCUAACACAUGCAAGUCGAACGGUAACAGGAAGCAGCUUGCUGCUUCGCUGACGAGUGGCGGACGGGUGAGUAAUGUCUGGGAAACUGCCUGAUGGAGGGGGAUAACUACUGGAAACGGUGGCUAAUACCGCAUAACGUCGCAAGACCAAAGAGGGGGACCUUCGGGCCUCUUGCCAUCAGAUGUGCCCAGAUGGGAUUAGCUAGUUGGUGAGGUAACGGCUCACCAAGGCGACGAUCCCUAGCUGGUCUGAGAGGAUGACCAGCCACACUGGAACUGAGACACGGUCCAGACUCCUACGGGAGGCAGCAGUGGGGAAUAUUGCACAAUGGGCGCAAGCCUGAUGCAGCCAUGCCGCGUGUAUGAAGAAGGCCUUCGGGUUGUAAAGUACUUUCAGCGGGGAGGAAGGUGUUGUGGUUAAUAACCGCAGCAAUUGACGUUACCCGCAG